CAGCGAGAGGACAGGGACCCCACCGCAGCACCCUGGAGACGGACCGCUGUGCAAUGGACUGUGUGCGUGUGAGGAGGGUCGUAAAACGCGCGGUGAGGAAGAGGUUAAAUCCAUCUCAUCUGACGCUAAACAAGAAAUAAUGGUUUCUUUCUUCUCGCAAGCAACGGAAAGAGAAAGUCCCUCAUUUCCCUUUGCGGACAUCGGGUUCCUGAAUAACUCCCCGGAGUAGAUUCAUCAUCAUUACAUUAAAUCAGCCAUGGCCUCCAUCAGUGGUUCGUUUGCCUCAGUGUUAACUCAGCGGGAGCCGCAACAGGCUGUGAAUUCUACACGCAAACAAACAGAGAAAAUAACAACGACAACACACACUGAAUAAUUCUUUUGUGUACACUGGGGCGAACAGUGCCACCAAAAGGGAUCAUAUUUUAAUAUACAGCAUAGUGUGUAAUUCACAGAGACACUUUUAAUCCCCUAGGGGUCGUGGGAGAAUGUCUUUCUUGUUUCUUUUCUGUGAAUAUCUGUGCAUUUUCCGAGUGAGGCUGCUGAAUCCCUUAAUCGAAUCUCCUUUCAUCGGGCUUUCGUGGCGCGUGAGUGGAUUCUGCACAUCAGACAUUCAUCACACUUCUGACCCUGCAGGCUUCCCGUGGGCCAGAGGAGAGAAGGGAAACAAAUAGGAAACACGGUAUGUGCAACAACGCGUUUAGCUUCGCUUUAAAAUGUAACGGUGGAGAGAUGAAGCCCUCUCCGAUUCGAUGCAGACAUCCUCCCUGCCAUCAGAUCGGGACUACUUCAUAUUGUCAUUACAUGCAGUUUUAAUUAUUGUCCCUUCCAUGUGUCUGGGUAAAAAAAAAAUUAAAGAUAGUCUGCUAUGUAGGGGGGGCUUUGAUCUUCCUAUAUUAUCAAUGGGGGUUUGGGAACCACUAGCUUAUGCUAUGAACUUGAAAACACCCUAUAAACCAUAAAAACAUUUUUUUGUGUGCAAAAGAUUGUCCUAAUUGCCCGUGUGUUAAUUUAUAUGUCAAUUCAUAUUUUAAUUGUUUCAUCUCAUUCUGAUCCUCAGGCAAAGACUGUAUGUCAGACGUGGACGUACGGACAUCUGAACCGCGGAGGAGUGGGUGAGGACCGCCCUAAAGCGUACCCUGCUUCAUGGUCUAUUUGACUCUAGAUGGACCAUCAUUGACUAAAUAAACAUCAUGCCGUGUUGAAGUAGACUUGAAACCAGAGAUUGAGAUCAAAAACUCAUGUUUACAAUGUUUACUGAGGGAAUGAACCAAGAGAGAAGUAAAGUCCUUUCCUCAUAGACUAUCCUAUCAGUACUGUGUGCAAAAAGUAGAGGCUGCUUGAUGCUGUUGGUCGGAAUGUCCACCGGCGUCCAUUUGUUUCUAUCCCCUCCAGCCGACACGCAGUCCUCGCCUCAUACUAAACUGUCCCCUCCAGCCGACCGGAUACCAGCAGGAGGGUCAUUUGACCUUUCACCAACAUCACAGCAGCUCCUGUGUCCACCACACUGCUGAUAAUCUCCCCCCCGUUCAUUUAGAUCAAAUCUACACAUGCAUGCAAGUGGCUGCGACGACCAACUGCACGCAGGCGGUUGCAGGUCGUGAGCUUCCAGGUGGAUCAUUCCAGCCAGCUUGGUAUUCUGACGAAGGGAGUCUGGACUCACUAAUAGGAUUCUGGGUUUUUCUUCUCUCCGAGACAACGUGAGCAAUGGGGAGGUUAAUCUGUAUGUGUUUGAAGUCAGGUCUGCGCCUCAUUGACUUUCUUCACCUUCCCUUGGCUCUGUCUCCAUUGCGCGCACACACACACACACACACACACAUCGGUGCUUUGAACUGUGACUAAAGCUUUCUCUGCGUCUCUGUCUUUGAUCCUUGUUAAAAGGUUAAGGUGACUGCAGGGAUUGGGCAGAGCGGGGAGUGCGUGAAGUUUCACCAAAGUUUUCACCUCGGAUGAUGACGCACACAAAGGAGAAGGUGGUGUGACCCUCUGGCGUUCCCAUCUAAUGGAACUCCUCUGUUAGGUGGAUGCGCGGCUCGGCGCCCAGAGGGAGGACAUCACGCCACCGUCAUGGACGCCGAUCAUCUCCUGGUCAUGAACAGUCGUCUCAUGGUGCUUCCCCGCUUCAGAUGAGGCCCUAACAGCAUCUCCACGAAGACUCGUAGGAAACUGUGCCCCCCCCCCCCCCCCCCCCUCCCCAUGGUUCGAGCAAACUUCCGCUGCUUUGCUAAAUGUCGAGAGAAGAUGAAGCAGGUUUUCCGUUAGAAUCUGACUGGGAGCUCAGGCUGUCGUUGUGAUGUCGGCCAUGGCACAUGGCAGAUGGAGACGGGUUUGGCAUUAGCAUAAUUUUCCCACCGACCGUUUUCUCGCAAAUUCCUGCGUGGGAACGAGAAGACACACAGAUUCUGGAGCUCAUUACACUGUGGCAGCGUACACCAGUGUGUGUACGUCUGUGCGAGAGUGACUUAUUACGGCGAUGCACUGCUCAUCAUUGUUAUAGCGGUGCACAUUAGGCAGGGGAGCCUUGUGCUUAACGAGACGAGGCUUUUCAUCGAGCUUCAGCAUCCCCUCGUCAUGGCAACGCUCUGCUGAUCCUUUCACCUCUUCCCAUUGUUUUAUUUCUGCUGCCGCAGCCUCUCGGUCCGUCGGGUUCUCGCUGUUUCUUCCCCAACGUCAUUGAGCCACCGCUUUUCCUCUCGCGUAAUUCUUUUCUCUGCCCUUUUUUCCCGCAAUCCAUCCGGUCUGAGGCUUCUCCAUCCCUCCCUACGUCGUACCCUGUGACCCGGAGGAGCCAGUACAGAGACAUCAGCAUAAAUAACAUAUGAGGUGGUGUAGUAUUACCACAUACUCACACACACACCAUUGGCCUCUCCACAGUCUUCCAUCAGGAGCAGGGGAAUACAAUACAACGGUUCCCUGGGGAGGAUGUUCAUGUUUCCCUUAAAGGAGAAAAACAAUUGAGAAGACAACGAAUGAAUUGAAAGAGAAAUGUAGAUAGUUAUGAGUAGAACGUGCAGAUAGUAAAUACAUCUGUAUUACCUCUUUAUGACACCUGGAUAUAAAUGAGAACUUGCUGAAAAAUGUAUGGGGAAAUUAGCUGUCUGCGCAUUAAUAUUUGAAUAAAUACCAGAUUUACAAUAGCUUUCUGUGAGGCCAGCUGUGAGGCAGCCAUGAAUAUUUCACCAUAAUGAACGCCCUGUUGGAGGAGAAAGGCCUGAACUCUGUGAAUAUUUUACGAAAUGGAUCUAAACUACUCUCUGAAAGAUUGGAUUACCUAACUCGAACAUCACAAUGUGCUUGAUGUUUUGACCCGCGGAAAAGAGAUUAAAAAAAAGGGGAGACAUCAUUUUCAUUCCAAAUAUGAAACAUUGCUGUUGAAAUAAUGACGGUUUCCCUGCAGUUUCUCUGGUUUCCUCCCACAGUGGUGACAGACAUGCUGCCUUAGUUAAUGGAUUGCUCUCAACGCCCUGUGAUCAGUGCUUUGCUCAGGCCGACAUGUCGUUGAGAGUCGGGACCCGUCGACAGCUUCUUUCACUUACAUUUGAAAAAAGCCCCCAUCAUGUUUUGCAGAGGCCAUAAUGAGCGCUGCAAACAUGUUUACCUCCGAACAGUAAUUGGUUUCCAUGAACAUGUUUUCCCUGUAUAUACUGUCCAUUUAUAAUCUAUCAUAACAUUGUAGCAAUGGGACUGCAUCCCCCACGAGAAAACCUGUCUGUUUGAAACAAAAGGAAUCCAGUUUGCUGCAGCGCAGCGUUUGUUGCAAGUUGCAUUUGUCCCAUGGUGCAAAAAGUGUUCAUCUGACUGAAAGCUAAGAAGACAGGGGAGAAGACAAAUGCAGCACAGAUGUGCAAAGCUAAUUAGCAGGAAGCCCACAUGGACUCAAACAUGCAUCUACUAAUUACUGACUUAGCAGAGAUAAAUACCUCCACGUUCCAGGUAGCCUUUAAAUAGCAGACCCUCAAACACAAAAGCACACGACAAGAUGGCAACAAGGCAGCAAGGAUGAAGUGACAGGACAGAAAAGUGUGAAGUAUCUGGAGGAGCGACGGGGAGAGCGUGACAGGUGAGCAGGUGGUCAGGUGACGGGUGGGGAAAGGAGGGAAAGUCCUUUGGUGAGAGUGAAAAGGGCAUGAAUUGGGAUUGGGGAAUUCGGGGUGUAGCUUGAGAAUGCCGCGGUGAAACAUGUACACGUCCAACAUCUUAACCGAUGCUUCAAAGCUGAAGCUGGUGGCACUUAAUUCAGAGAGGCUGAACCUUUCGUUGCCUUCUGUGAGGCCAAGCACAAGGCUAGACCUGUUUAUAACGAGCCCUACCAAUCACUGCCCAUUAGUAUUACAAUGCAGUCCUGUAAGUAUGUGUAAUGAUAUGGAUGGUACAGCGAAGCAAAGUUAGAGAUCAUUUCUUUAUCAUGAACACCGAAAUUUUGUCUUUACAAACUUCUUUUCCAAGGCCGAACUUUAAAGGAUACAAAACAACGGUAGACCCAUUCACAUUAGGCCUUAACCGGACCAUUUAAUUGCCAUCUCCUCAUCACCUUAUUGUAUUGAACAGGUAGCCUAUUAAAAGACAUAGUAUUUUAAUCAACCAUCUUAUUAAAAGACCAUUAAGCUCUUCUCAUUCUUUUCAGGAGGUUUUAUAUUAGAAUGAAAUGUUAUAAGUACGCUACAAUUAUCAGAAACAUACAAACAUCCAUGCGGUUUAAAGGUGUACUGGAGGUUUAAUUGUUAAAUUAAAUUGUUUUUUCAUCUUGAGCCCUGAACACAUCCAUGCCUGUUAACCUGCUUGAUCCCAUGACAGCUUGACCAAUGAACUGGUACACAUGAAUGAAUACAACACUUGCAGACCAUAGUGUUUGGAAUAUUUCACUGCACUGACGGUGGAGCCGGCAUAAUUACCAGCUCCCUUGGCGGGGUUUAGCAUUUUAAAGGAAACAAUGAGGUCAGCUGACAGGCUGCACGCUAGAGACACAGGAUCCUUGCAGGAGUUGGGAGCAUCAGCUGUGCCGGCCUGUUUGGCAGCACCUCAGGCAACGAUAGCCUCAUGUCACCCACUGGUCCACUAUUCACAUGGAAGAGACAGGACGAUGUCCAUUAUUCAUACCAGGCCUGUGAUCGCUUUCUAUCAAAGUAUCUUACAGCAGGAGCCAAGGAAAGUCAAGGUCAAGUCUUUAACCUGGAGUCCCAGUCAAGUCUCAAGUCUUUAACCUGUAGUCCCAGUCAAGUCUCAAGUCUUUAACCUGUAGUCCCAGUCAAGUCUCGGGUCUUUAACCCGGAGUCCCAGUCAAGUCUCGGGUCUUUAACCCGGAGUCCCAGUCAAGUCUCGGGUCUUUAACUUGGAGUCCCAGUCAAGUCUCGGGUCUUUAACCCGGAGUCCCAGUCAAGUCUCGGGUCUUUAACCCGGAGUCCCAGUCAAGUCUCGGGUCUUUAACUUGGAGUCCCAGUCAAGUCCCAGGUCUUUAACUUGGAGUCCCAGUCAAGUCUCAGGUCUUUAACUUGGAGUCCCAGUCAAGUCCCAGGUCUUUAACUUGGAGUCCCAGUCAAGUCCCAGGUCUUUAACUUGGAGUCCCAGUCAAGUCCCAGGUCUUUAACUUGGAGUCCCAGUCAAGUCUCAGGUUUUUAACUUGGAGUCCCAGUCAAGUCUCGGGUCUUUAACCUGGAGUCCCAGUCAAGUCUCGGGUCUUAUAUGUAUUUAUAAAUAACACCACAUGACUGCAGACUGCAGACUAGUGCUGACAAACACUGCGACACGCAAACGGCAAUUAGCAGCCGCUUCAUCUCCGGGGUCCAGGCUGUCUGCGGUCUGAUGUGUCCUCCCCCGUCACAUCGCUCACCUGACACCAUCCGACACCAUCUGACACCAUCUGUCAGAGCGCUACAGAGAAAGCGAAGGAAUUAAUGUUGGAGUCGAAAUCCAGCUGUUUCUGAGUGAAUGCAGGCUGCAUGAAAGAAUAAGGCAUGACGUAUUGUUUUUAAAAAAAAACGUUUUUUGAACCACAAAUUCUUUUAUAGCUGUAGCUGCUAAUGUGGUGCACACGGUUCCUGGAGCCUCGUGGGUGGAGGCUGACUAAUCCGUGGCCGUGCUCGGUACAUACUGCCAUCAAACACUGAUUGUAUCAAAAGUGUUGGUAUAGUUUUCUGAUCGAAACACGAGGAACAAAAAGUUAUUACUCUAGUUUUCAAAUCGCACAUGGAGUUCUCUUUAGUAGUAUAUUGAAUUGGUUUUGCUUCUUUUGGAGGCUGGACAUAAUGUUAAGUAAUUUAAUGCAACGUAGAUUGUGUUAUUGUUCAGUGAAAUAAAACCGCACUCACACUAAUUCACAUCAGGUGCACAGUCUCACCUUUUGGCUUUCUCUAAAAGUAUUUUGUUUUGAUUUUCCACAUGGAUAUAAACAGUCUGCCAUUUCUCCUGGAUUCGUCCAGCUUUCAAUAACAGCGACUGAGACUUUCAGAGUUUACUGCAGAAACAGUGGCUUUUGAGACUUGCUUGUUGCUUUUAAUGUGACAGUUUGUCAUACAAACAGGAUUGUGUCUUCAUUUUUCCAUCUUUUUGUUGAUUUUCACAGGCUUACAUACUUAUGAUUGUAUACGGAGACUCAAAACAUUCAUAAGACGUGGAAGAAGGAGCUGGCUACUCUGCAGAAAUACCUUCUCAUGCAGUGUAUGAUGCUGACAGAAAUACAUGGCAGCGACAAGCAGUCCUGAGUCCUGCGAGUGCCCACAAAUGUGAUCACGAACAAUCUUCCCCUUAUAGAUCACGACCUGUUCAAUCAAUAUGAGCCUAUUUCGCUUCACAGCGCCUGUUGUGAAUUUCAUUACCAUGGUUUGUCAUUUUCUGAGUGCGUUGCCAGCAAAAGAGUUUGAGAAACAUGGUUUACAGCUAAUGUCAUUGCUAAUGUCAUCAUGCUAACAUCAUGGAAGGCCACCACUGAGAGAGCACCAGGUUUUGAAGAUGAAAUUGUGUCAGUUGAUUCAAGCAAAACAUGUGUCGACAUCUCUGGACGAAGAGAAUGUUGGCCUGGUUUUGUCUUUGCAGACCAGUGGAAGAAAUGUUCCAUGAAUACGUUUCAUAUAAAUGUGUAUCCUGCUUAAAAAGAUCACAAUGUGAAGCGAUUGAUGAGGGUUAGGCAACAACAUUACUUGGUAACGGUUUGAAAAAGGUUCAUGAUUGGUUUUACAAAGAAUCAUUGAAUGACAUGAUCUGAUAUAUUGUUUUGUCGGCACAAGCCUGCAAAUAAAAACCAGCCACCCUGAGCAGCUUUCAUGACAUUAUGUAACAAGUGUAAACUCAAUGUGUACUUUUAGUUUCACAUAGGACACGAACAGCCGUCUCCUGGGGCAUGUUUUGUUUUACCAAAUUCAUUGUACAGAGUAACCUGUUUACUAGUAAUCCUGCAAGCGAUAAUUAUUUAAAUGUGCACGUAAACACAAAUCAACGUUUCCUUUGUAUCCUGAACGCCAAAAAAAAUCGUGGCAACAGGGCGUCACCAUUGCUACGGUAACCGGAUGAGGAGAGAUCCUGUUCAAGCCUGUUUAACAAAACUUGUUAGCAAGUGUCACAUCACAGAAGAGCCGUCGUAUUCAAAUUCAGGACUCAGCGCUCCGAAUGUUGAGCUCAGAGCGUCUGAAAGGGAAACAGACAAGAGAAGAAAAGGGGAGCAGGAAUCAGAAGAAAGAGCAGGACAGGCUCGAGGCGUUGACCUGUCUUGCAUCCACUUCCCUAAUAUGGAGAGCAGCUUAUUAUCGGUGGCCCUCUGUCACCCGCUUUGAAAAUAUCAUUAUCAGCUGAAAAUGUGUAAAUAAUUUUCAAUCAGGGAGAGUCAACUUCAUCUUUCACAUGAUUGUGCUAAUAGUGUCAUAGUGUAGACAAGCGAGUACAAGAACCAACGCAUUUUUACAUUAGAUUUAAAAAGUCCCAUUUUCUCGUGCCCUGAUGAUAGCGGGCUGAUGGAGCCUGGCAAUUGUAGUGGCACAUUAUGGAUUUAAAAUAUUUUCAUUCAAACAUGCACCGUGUGCACUUUCAAGAUAAAAAUGUGUGUUGUGGCAGCACAACGCAGCAACCUCCGGUUCUACACAGCGAAGCCGUGCGUCCUCUCUGCUGACUAUCAGGGGGAGAAAAGGACUCUACUUCUCUCUUGACUUGGUCUCUGAGUAAACACUGUAAACAUGAGUUUAUGGCCUCAAUCAGUGGCGGCUGGUAACAAACGUUGUAGCCAUCCAAUCAUUUUCAGCAUCCCAGCAUGCACAACAACUAAAUAUGCAUUACUACUUUACUGUAUAUAUAUAUACAGUAUAUACGUAUAUAUAUACAUAUAUAUAUAUGAAGCUUAGGCGAAAAUUCAGUCAGGAAGGCUGGACAGACUGUGCCGUUCCCUGGUGGCCUCCUCUCUCCUUGUGGGUGCACGGCCAGCUGAUUAGGGGCGGGGUCGGGUAGUACCAGCCAACCAGACGUGGGUGCCGUUACCGUAAACAGAUUGCAUCGGUGCAGGCAAACGUUAAAAACUGUUCUCCUCUCUUUUGCUGUCAGUUGUCAUUUCAGCACGCACCAAAGACGACCCGCCACCACCCCUGAAGCCUCCAAUCUACAGCAGAACCUGGCAUAUUUAUUUCCUGUCUUAUUGUGUAGUUUUCUGCUUCUUGUCUCCCUGGGUAUCUUCACUUCCUGCCUCGUCCUGUCGUCCCCCUGUGAUUGUCUGAUUGUUUCUACCUGUGUCCAAUCACCUGCACCUCCCUGUGUAUUUAAGCAGUGUGUGUCUCUUGUGACUUGUCGCGUCAUUGUCUAUCGUCCUGGAUGUCUCUAGUUCCUGCCAGCCUUUUUUUCCCCCGGUACCUGUAUGCGUUUUUGCCCCUUGGCCAUUUUGUGUUGGAGUUUAUGACUAUUA
ensembl:lncRNA